UUCCGGUUGAUCCUGCCGGACCCGACUGCUAUCAGAGUGGGAUUAAGCCAUGCGAGUCGACGUAGCAAUACGUGGCGCACGGCUCAGUAACACGUAGUCAACAUGCCCAGAGGACGUGGAUAACCUCGGGAAACUGAGUCUAAACCGCGAUAAGUCAAGAUUCCUGGAAUGGUUCCUGAUUGAAACCUAUAUGGCCUCUGGAUUGGACUGCGGCCGAUCAGGCUGUUGGUGAGGUAAUGGCCCACCAAACCUGUAACCGGUACGGGCUCUGAGAGGAGGAGCCCGGAGAUGGGCACUGAGACAAGGGCCCAGGCCCUAUGGGGCACAGCAGGCGCGAAACCUCUGCAAUAGGCGAAAGCCUGACAGGGUUACUCUGAGUGAUUUUCGUUAAGAAAGUCUUUUGGCACCUCUAAAAAUGGUGCAGAAUAAGGGGUGGGCAAGUCUGGUGUCAGCCGCCGCGGUAAUACCAGCACCCCGAGUGGUCGGGACGAUUAUUGGGCCUAAAGCAUCCGUAGCCGGUUCUGCAAGUCCCCCGUUAAAUCCAACUGCUCAACAGGUGGGCUGCGGAGGAUACUACAGAGCUAGGAGGCAGGAGAGGCAAGCGGUACUCAGUGGGUAGGGGUAAAAUCCG
rnacentral:rRNA from 1 species